rnacentral:rRNA from 1 species
AGUGAACGCUGGCGGCAGGCUUUACACAUGCAAGUCGAACGGCAGCGCGGGCUGAGGCUUGUCUUCGGGGUGGCAACGGGCGGGUGAUUGAGCGGUACGUCGCCAUCUACUGUGUCUAGGGGGGCGAAAGCCGGAAUAAUACGGCAAAACAGCAUACGGUGUAAGGGGGAAAGCGGAAGACCUCCGGACAUUGGACGAGCCGAUGACCGGAUGUCGGAUUAGCUAGUUGGCGGGGUAAAGGCCCACCAAGGCGACGAUCCGUAGCUGGUCUGAGAGGAUGAUCAGCCACACUGGGACUGAGACACGGUCCAGACUCCUACGGGAGGCAGCAGUGGGGAAUAUUGGACAAUGGGCGCAAGCCUGAUCCAGCCAUGCCGCGUGCGUGAAGAAGGCCUUCGGGUUGUAAACCGCUUUUGUUCGGGAAGAAAAGCUCUGGGCUAAUACCCCGCGGGGAUGACGGUACCGGAAGAAUAAGCACCGGCUAACUACGUG